AAUAACUGUUGCUCCGCCGCUUCCACCGACCUCAUGAUAAAUGUGGAAAUUCAUAAAUGUAAAUCAAAAUGCCAAAGUUUUCUACUUUUCUUGCUGUCUUUCUAAUUUUGAUUGUUGUUUAAAUUUUCUUUGUUGUAAGUAUGAACAUUCCCUUUUUAGAAACCUGAUACUGAUUGAUACCAUUCAAUGUUUCCCUCCUUUUUCAUGUUGAAUAAAUUUAGAAAAAGUUUAUGAAGUUGAAAAUUUGGAUAUUAUGUUCCUUUGACUCUCUUCCUUCUUUGAAAAC